GUAAAGUUUAUGCGAAGUAGGAGGUAACGUUAGGAAUCACUGAUCAAUGUGAUUGGUUAGGAUGGACUAAUGAUUUCAAACUUAAACUAUAUUAUGCC